rnacentral:ncRNA from 2 species
UUAUAUACAACAGGGAGCUUGUAAACAGGCUGAGAGGAAAUUGCGAAUUUCGACCUAGAACCUGACUUGGAUAAUGCCAACGUAGGGAAAUAACACUGUAUUUUC